GAUGAACGCUGGCGGCGUGCCUAAUACAUGCAAGUCGAGCGAACGGACGAGAAGCUUGCUUUUCUGAUGUUAGCGGCGGACGGGUGAGUAACACGUGGAUAACCUACCUAUAAGACUGGGAUAACUUCGGGAAACCGGAGCUAAUACCGGAUAAUAUUUUGAACCGCAUGGUUCAAAAGUGAAAGACGGUCUUGCUGUCACUUAUAGAUGGAUCCGCGCUGCAUUAGCUAGUUGGUAAGGUAACGGCUUACCAAGGCAACGAUGCAUAGCCGACCUGAGAGGGUGAACGGCCACACUGGAACUGAGACACGGUCCAGACUCCUACGGGAGGCAGCAGUAGGGAAUCUUCCGCAAUGGGCGGAAGCCUGACGGAGCAACGCCGCGUGAGUGAUGAAGGUCUUCGGAUCGUAAAACUCUGUUAUUAGGGAAGAACAUAUGUGUAAGUAACUGUGCACAUCUUGACGGUACCUAAUCAGAAAGCCACGGCUAACUACGUG
rnacentral:rRNA from 1 species